CAUAACAUCCAAACCAAACAGUAGUUAUUUCCCAGGUCUUCCUAGAUUGCCACACCCACCAAAUCCUAAAUUGAAAAGGAUUAGCUUUUCUGGUUUCUACUGAGAUCUAAAAUAAACUUUAAAUUGGCGCACUCAUAGUUAGGUACCCGUCAGUGAGAAAAGUCACUGCAGACCCUCAGCCUUUGUUUCCAUCUUUGGACCAGGUUUGGAAGUUAGGCCUGAAUAGCAAAGUAAAAAAGUAAAAAAAAAAAAAAAAAAAAAGGAACUCCCCCAAAAGGCCACACCAGCCUAUGAAGACUGAAGUCUUUAAGCGCUGCCUCUACCCACUAGUUUGUCCUGUUUUAAAUCCCAUUUCCUUUCAUCUUUUAUGGACAUAGUCUGCUGUCAUUAUGCACCUAUACAUGGACACACGUUUUUCUUUCAGAGAUAAAUAAUAAAAGGACCAGAUUGGCUAA
ensembl:processed_transcript